rnacentral:lncRNA from 1 species
GUUUUGAAACGCAAGGACAUGAGGUUUGGAGGGGUCAGGGCAGAAUGAUAUGGUUUGGCUGUGUCCCCAUUCAAAUCUCAACUUGAAUUUUAUCUCCCAGAAUUCCCACAUGUUGUGGAAGGGACCCAGUGGGAGGUCAAAUGAAUCAUGGGGGCUGGUCUUUCCCGUGCUAGUCUCAUGAUAGUAAGUCUCAUGAGAUUCAGUGGGUUUAUUAGGGAUUUCUGCUUUUGCUUCCUCAUUUUCUCUUGCCACCACCAUGUACAAAGAACCUUUCACCUCCCGCCAAGAUUCUGAGGCCUCACAAGUCUUCAUCAACCACCUGAAAUUCUCCAAGAUGAGCUGGAUGUUACUAUGCUGGAAAAUACAGCUACAUGAAGAGUUGCCUGAUCAAGUUUUGGCCUUUAGUAGAAGAACACAGGCAACUAACAGUGACUUGGUCUGGAGGACACCAGGGAACUAAUAUUCUAAUCCUACAUUUCUUUUGCCCUUCAAUCUUCUACUCCUGUCACUGAUAGCAUCAACCCAAAUAAAACCUGGAGGAAAAGGAAAAGAAAGGUCAUUGGUACAGGACAAAGACCCAGCCUCCUAGAACACUGAUAGGCCAGAACAGAAAAGGGUGGAAAGUGGAUCUGAAGAGCAAAUUGCAAACAACAACAACAAAAAAAAAGAAAAAAAAAAAGAACUCAUUUGAUUAACAACUUUCCUCUAUGCUCAUGUCAAACUAUGUCUAAAUAUCUUGGCAUAUAUUAGGGAAGAUGCUUUUUCACUUUCAUUGGGUAAUUAUUUGGCUAGGCCACCCAAUCUCCCCCAUAUAACUAUAGUACUGAAAAUGUAAAAAUAGUUAAAGAUAAAAGUAGAAUUCCCAUUCUUUUUUGUUCUUAGAUGAUUUAUGAAGUGUCCAUUGGUAUAUGCAUAUGGGUAUCUAUUUUCCUAGGUCAGGAAUUUACAGAACAUUAAAAAAAAAUGCUUUCCUAGUUAUAUAGUUUUCUACUUCAGUCCUUUUUUAAGAAUGAAGCAUAUUCAAGAGACU